rnacentral:rRNA from 1 species
UACGAAGGGGGCGAGCGUUGUUCGGAAUUACUGGGCGUAAAGGGCGCGUAGGCGGCCGAUCAAGUCAGAUGUGAAAGUCCUGGGCUUAACCUGGGGACUGCAUUUGAUACUGAUUGGCUUGAAUGCAGGAGAGGAUAGCGGAAUUCCCAGUGUAGAGGUGAAAUUCGUAGAUAUUGGGAAGAACACCGGUGGCGAAGGCGGCUAUCUGGACUGUGACUGACGCUGAGGCGCGAAAGCGUGGGGAGCAAACAGG